rnacentral:rRNA from 1 species
ACGGAGGGUGCAAGCAUUGAUCGGAAUUACUGGGCGUAAAGGGCGCGUAGGCGGCAAGAUAAGUCAGAUGUGAAAUUCCACAGCUCAACUGUGGAGCUGCAUUUGAAACUGUCUAGCUUGAGCAUAAUUAGGGAAAACGGAAUUCCACAUGUAGCGGUGAAAUGCGUAGAUAUGUGGAGGAACACCGGUGGUGAAGACGGUUUUCUGGGUUAUUGCUGACGCUGAGGCGCGAAAGCUAGGGGAGCAAACAGG